rnacentral:tRNA from 2 species
CGGAUGUAGCCAAGUGGAC